GAGUUAUUUGUUUGUAUGUAGUUGGCAGAAAUGAGAGGAUCACGUGUGGGAUUCGAGAACUAUACGUUUUGACCUGUGGAGGGCAGUACGCCUAGUAGCGUAUACACGCGUAGAUCCUCAAGAAGAAGACUAGUACAUAUAGCACGAGGCGAAAACGGACGUCCUUUCUGUUCUGAAGCAGCGGUGGAUACACGUGUGUUCAGAAAAAGCGGCUAUUUGCUGGUGUUUUCCGAGGGAUUCGCACAUUUUAUGGUGUUUUCCGAGGGAUUCGCACUUUUUAUGGUGUUUUCCGAGGGAUUCGCACAUUUUUAUGAUUACGCUAAAGGAGCUUUGGACCGCUUUAUCCUUAACCUUCAAGCUUGAACUGCUAUGUCCUAUGCAUUGUUUGCUUAAGUGUAUUAUUGUAGUUUAAGUCUUAUUAAAAGUUUUGUUCAAAUG